rnacentral:rRNA from 1 species
UACAAAGGAAUUGACGGGACCCGCACAAGCGGUGGAUGAUGUGGUUAAUUCGAUGCAACGCGAAAAACCUUACCACCUUUGACAUGUACGGAAUCCUUUAGAGAUAGAGGAGUGCUCGAAAGAGAACCGUAACACAGGUGCUGCAUGGCUGUCGUCAGCUCGUGUCGUGAGAUGUUGGGUUAAGUCCCGCAACGAGCGCAACCCUUGUCAUUAGUUGCUACAUUCAGUUGGGCACUCUAAUGAGACUGCCGGUGACAAACCGGAGGAAGGUGGGGAUGACGUCAAGUCCUCAUGGCCCUUAUAGGUGGGGCUACACACGUCAUACAAUGGAUGGUACAAAGGGUCGCCAACCCGCGAGGGGGAGCCAAUCCCAUAAAGCCAUUCGUAGUCCGGAUCGCAGUCUGCAACUCGACUGCGUGAAGUCGGAAUCGCUAGUAAUCGUGGAUCAGAAUGUCACGGUGAAUACGUUCCCGGGUCUU